UGGGGUUGGAACCCCACACAGAGUCUGCACUGGGGCACUGACUAGUGGAGAUAUGAGAAGAGGCCCACUGUCCUCCAGACCCCAGAAUGGUAGAUCCACUG